rnacentral:rRNA from 1 species
UCCGGCGUCUCUAGCGACCGGGAAACACCCGAUCCCUUUCCGAACUCGGCAGUUAAGCCGGUCAGCGCCGAUGGUAGCCUCCGGGCAAGAGUAGGUCGGUGCCGGGG